CCCGGGGAUCCUCUAGAGUUCUGGUUGAUCCUGCCGGACCCGACUGCUAUCAGAGUGGGACUAAGCCAUGCGAGUCAACGUAACAAUGCGUGGCGAACGGCUCAGUAACACGUAGUCAACAUGCCCAGGGGACGUGGAUAACCUCGGGAAACUGAGAUUAAACCGCGAUAGGUCAAGAUUUCUGGAAUGGAUCGUGUCUUAAAUCUACAUGGCCCCUGGAUUGGACUGCGGCCGAUCAGGCUGUUGGUGAGGUAAUGGCCCACCAAACCUAUAACCGGUACGGGCUCUGAGAGGAGAAGCCCGGAGAUGGGCACUGAGACAAGGGCCCAGGCCCUAUGGGGCGCAGCAGGCGCGAAACCUCUGCAAUGGGCGAAAGCCUGACAGGGUUACUCUGAGUGGUUCCCGCUAAGGGGAUCUUUUGGCACCUCUAAAAAUGGUGCAGAAUAAGGGGUGGGCAAGCCUGGUGUCAGCCGCCGCGGUAAUACCAGCACCCCGAGUGGUCGGGACGAUUAUUGGGCCUAAAGCAUCCGUAGCCGGUCAUGCAAGUCUUCCGUUAAAUCCACCCGCUCAACGGUUGGGCUGCGGAGGAUACUACGUGGCUAGGAGGCGGGAGAGGCAAGCGGUACUCAGUGGGUAGGGGUAAAAUCCUUUGAUCCAUUGAAGACCACCAGUGGCGAAGGCGGCUUGCCAGAACGCGCUCGACGGUGAGGGAUGAAAGCUGGGGGAGCAAACCGGAUUAGAUACCCGGGUAGUCCCAGCUGUAAACGAUGCAGACUCGGUGAUGGGAUGGCCUCGAGCUAUCCCAGUGCCGCAGGGAAGCCGUUAAGUCUGCCGCCUGGGGAGUACGGUCGCAAGACUGAAACUUAAAGGAAUUGGCGGGGGAGCACCACAAGGGGUGAAGCCUGCGGGUUCAAUGGAGUCACGCCGGG
rnacentral:rRNA from 1 species